rnacentral:rRNA from 1 species
UACGUAGGGUCCGAGCGUUGUCCGGAAUUAUUGGGCGUAAAGAGCUCGUAGGCGGUCUGUCGCGUCUGGUGUGAAAUCCCAUGGCUCAACUGUGGGCUUGCAUCGGGUACGGGCAGACUAGAGUGCUGUAGGGGAGACUGGAAUUCCUGGUGUAGCGGUGAAAUGCGCAGAUAUCAGGAAGAACACCCGUGGCGAAGGCGGCUCUCUGGGACGGUACUGACGCUGAGACGCGAAAGCGUGGGGAGCGAACAGG